rnacentral:sRNA from 1 species
UAAGCAGUAGUAGGACGAGUGCACCUGCACUGGACCCAGGCUGUAUGAAAAUCCUUUUUACACAUUGCAUGGCCAGCCAGAGAAAAGAUAAAUCAUCUUCGUGAUGCGUGAUGCGUGAUGCGCUGGAACGACUGGAACGAAUGGAACGCAUCGUGUGCUGGAAGAUGCAGGUACAACUGUGCUGAUACUGGGGUACAGUACAUGCAUACAUAUACAUGCUGCAUUGCAUUCGCUGCGCGUGGUUUGCUGUGGAGGAGAUGUCAUGAUUAAAUAGAUAUGCAACUGCAGCAGCACGGGGG